rnacentral:rRNA from 1 species
AGCGAACGCUGGCGGCAGGCCUAACACAUGCAAGUCGAGCGCCCCGCAAGGGGAGCGGCAGACGGGAGAGUAACACGUGGGAACGUGCCCUUCAGUUCGGAACAACCAAGGGAAACUUUGGCUAAUACCGGAUACGUCCGAAAGGAGAAAGAUUUAUCGCUGAAGGAUCGGCCCGCGUCUGAUUAGCUAGUUGGUGGGGUAAUGGCCCACCAAGGCGACGAUCAGUAGCUGGUCUGAGAGGAUGAUCAGCCUCACUGGGACUGAGACACGGCCCAGACUCCUACGGGAGGCAGCAGUGGGGAAUAUUGGACAAUGGGCGCAAGCCUGAUCCAGCCAUGCCGCGUGGAUGAUGAAGGCCCUAGGGUUGUAAAGUCCUUUCGGCGGGGAAGAUAAUGACGGUACCCGCAGAAGAAGCCCCGGCUAACUUCGUGCCAGCAGCCGCAGUAA